rnacentral:rRNA from 1 species
AACGAACGCUGGCGGCGUGGAUAAGACAUGCAAGUCGAGCGACAGACCAGGAAUUGAUUACUUCGGUUUGAUUUUCCUGACGAUGAGCGGCGAACGGGUGCGUAACACGUGAGCAACCUACCCUAAAGUGGGGGAUAGCCUUCCGAAAGGCAGAUUAAUACCGCAUGUGGUCUCCGGACCAAAGAUGGCUUCGGUGGGGAUCUUCGGACCUGCCGCUUCAUGAUAAGCCCGCGGCCUAUCAGCUUGUUGGUGAGGUAAAAGCUCACCAAGGCUAAGACGGGUAACUGGUCUGAGAGGACGGUCGGUCACACUGGAACUGAGACACGGUACAGACACCUACGGGUGGCAGCAGUCGAGAAUCAUUCACAAUGGGCGAAAGCCUGAUGGUGCGACGCCGCGUGGGGGAUGAAGUGCUUCGGUAUGUAAACCCCUGUCAUCUGCGAGCAACCUUUUCGGUUAACACCUGGAAAGCUGAUAGUAGCAGAAGAGGAAGGGACGGCUAACUCUGUGCCAGCAGCCGCGGUAAUACAGAGGUCCCAAGCGUUGUUCGGAUUCACUGGGCGUAAAGGGUGUGUAGGCGGUAGGAAAAGUUUGGUGUGAAAUCUUCGGGCUCAACCCGGAAAUGGCACUGAAUACUCUUCUACUAGAGGAUCGGAGGGGAGACUGGAAUUCUCGGUGUAGCAGUGAAAUGCGUAGAUAUCGAGAGGAACACCAAUAGCGAAGGCAAGUCUCUGGACGAUUCCUGACGCUGAGGCACGAAAGCUAGGGGAGCAAACAGGAUUAGAUACCCUGGUAGUCCUAGCCGUAAACGGUGCACAUUUGCUGUGGGCGGAUUCGACCCCGUCCGUGGCGUAGCUAACGCGAUAAAUGUGCCGCCUGGGGAGUACGGUCGCAAGAUUAAAACUCAAAGAAAUUGACGGGGGCCUGCACAAGCGGUGGAGUAUGUGGCUUAAUUCGAUGCAACGCGAAGAACCUUACCUGGCCUUGACAUGUAGUGGACCGGGUGCGUAAUGGCACCCUUUUUUCGGCCGGACAUACACAGGUGCUGCAUGGCUGUCGUCAGCUCGUGUCGUGAGAUGUUGGGUUAAGUCCCGCAACGAGCGCAACCCCUGUGAAUAGUUGCCAGCGCGUAAUGGCGGGGGCGGGGACUCUAUUCAGACUGCCGGUUUCAAACCGGAGGAAGGUGGGGAUGACGUCAAGUCAGUAUGGCCCUUACGCCCAGGGCUGCACACGUACUACAAUGCCCAGUACAAUGUGAACCGAGACCGCAAGGUGGAGGAAAUCCUUAAAACUGGGCCCAGUUCGGAUUGGGGGCUGCAACUCGCCCCCAUGAAGUUGGAAUCGCUAGUAAUGCCGUAUCAGCUACGACGGCGUGAAUACGUUCCCGGGUCUUGUACACACCGCCCGUCACAUCAUGGAAGCCGGCCGCACCCGAAGUGCGUGCGCUAACUUUUAGAAGCAGCGCCCUAAGGUGUAGCUUGGUAAUUGGGAUGAAGUCGUAACAAGGUAGCCGUAGGGGAACCUGUGGCUGGAUCACCUCCUUU